UACGGGGGGGGGCAAGCGUUGUUCGGAAUUACUGGGCGUAAAGGGCGCGUAGGCGGUUUGCUAAGUUGACUGUGAAAACUCUGGGCUUAACCCAGAGCCUGCAUUCAAUACUGGCAGGCUAGAGUUCUGGAGGGGAUAGCGGAAUUCCUGGUGUAGCGGUGAAAUGCGUAGAUAUCAGGAGGAACACCGGUGGCGAAGGCGGCUAUCUGGACAGAGUCUGACGCUGAGGCGCGAAAGCUAGGGGAGCAAACAGG
rnacentral:rRNA from 1 species